GAUGAACGCUGGCGGCGUGCCUAAUACAUGCAAGUCGAGCGAACGGACGAGAAGCUUGCUUCUCUGAUGUUAGCGGCGGACGGGUGAGUAACAAGUGGAUAACCUACCUAUAAGACUGGGAUAAAUUCGGGAAAUCGGAGCUAAUACCGGAUGAUAUUUUAAACCGCAUGGUUAAAAAGUGAAAGACGGCCUUGCUGUUACUUAUAGAUGGAUCCGCGCUGCAUUAGCUAGUUGGUAAGGUAACGGCUUACCAAGGCAACGAUGCAUAGCCGACCUGAGAGGGUGAUCGGCCACACUGGAACUGAGACACGGUCCAGACUCCUACGGGAGGCAGCAGUAGGGAAUCUUCCGCAAUGGGCGAAAGCCUGACGGAGCAACGCCGCGUGAGUGAUGAAGGUCUUCGGAUCGUAAAACUCUGUUAUUAGGGAAGAACAUAUGUGUAAGUAACUGUGCACAUCUUGACGGUACCUAAUCAGAAAGCCACGGCUAACUACGUG
rnacentral:rRNA from 1 species